GAUGAACGCUAGCGGCAGGCUUAACACAUGCAAGUCGAGGGGUAGGGGUUGCUUGCAACCUUGAGACCGGCGCACGGGUGCGUAACGCGUAUGCAGCCUACCUUUUACAGAGGGAUAGCCCAGAGAAAUUUGGAUUAAUACCUCAUAGUAUAUAACCUUCGCAUGUUGGUUAUAUUAAAGUUCCAACGGUAAAAGAUGGGCAUGCGUCCUGUUAGCUAGAUGGUAAGGCAACGGCUUACCAUGGCAACGUUAGGUAGGGGUCCUGAGAGGGAGAUCCCCCAAACUGGUACGGGGACACGGAACAGACUCCUACGGGAGGAAGCAGUGAUGAAUAUUGGACGAUGGGCGCAAGCCUGAUCCAGCCAUGCCGCGUGCAGGAAGAAGCAUCUAUGGUGUGUAAACUGCUUUUGUACAGGAAGAAACACCCCGACGUGUCGGAACUUGACGGUACUGUAAGAAUAAGGAUCGGCUAACUCCGUGCCAGCCGCCGCAGUAAAAC
rnacentral:rRNA from 1 species